rnacentral:misc_RNA from 1 species
GAAAGUCUGGGUGGCCCCUGGGAAUUUGUUGGGCUGCUUCCUCUAUUUGACCCUCCUCGCCAUGAUAGUGCUGAAACAAUCAGAAGAGCUCUGGAUCUUGGUGUUAGUGUUAAAAUGAUCACAGGUGACCAACUUGCAAUUGGCAAGGAAACUGGAAGGAGGCUUGGAAUGGGUACAAAUAUGUACCCAUCUUCAUCUCUGCUCGGUGAAGGCAAGGAUGAGGCAAUUGCAUCACUUCCAAUUGAUGAGCUCAUUGAGAAAGCUGAUGGUUUUGCUGGUGUCUUCCCUGAACAUAAAUAUGAGAUUGUA